rnacentral:rRNA from 1 species
CAGCCGUAAACUAUGCUCGCUAGGUGUCAGGCAUGGCGCGACCGUGUCUGGUGCCGCAGGGAAGCCGUGAAGCGAGCCACCUGGGAAGUACGGCCGCAAGGCUGAAACUUAAAGGAAUUGGCGGGGGAGCACCACAACGGGUGGGAGCCUGCGGUUUAAUUGGACUCAACGCCGGGAAGCUCACCGGAUAAGACAGCGGAAUGAUUGCCGGGCUGAAGACUCUGCAUGACUAGCUGAGAGGUGGUGCAUGGCGUAGACGUCCU